CAUUAGCCCUGAUGGAAAUGGAAAGCCUCGACGGAAUAAACCUAUUUUUUCCUGGGCUGACAGAGCGACCAACGGAAGCUCCUGCCAGCCCAAUGGAAAAAAUGGUUUAUGACGGAGAGCUUGCAAUGGACAGCAGGAUAUAGC
rnacentral:sRNA from 1 species